rnacentral:lncRNA from 1 species
ACAUGUCCUUAACCUUGGCACAACAAAUCUCUAAAUCGAUUGAGACCUGUCUCAGAUACUUCUUGGUUUACAAGAUGGAGGCUGAAAUUAAAGAGAAAGAUCCUCACUCAACUCACAGAGGAGCAGAAUGGGAAGAGGACUUAGUGAGAAUUCCCUGAACACAGGAGAAAACCGAAGCCCAGAGAGUGGAUGGCCAAGUCCAAGGUCACACAGCCAAGUGCAUCCGAGCAGCGCAGGAUCCAGGUUUCCUGCCCCAGUGCUCUUUCUGCAGCCCAUGCCACCUGUUUUCAUGCUAUCUCAGUUCACCUUCCAGCUACACACCUGCAAUCAGAAACAGAAAGUCUGAGAGUGUGUGUGGAGCCAAAGAGGGGACAGCAGUGGUGAGGCCAGUUUCAUGUCUUGUGAUUUAUUUUCUCCCUUUCUUUUUGGACUUUAAUCUUAAGUGGACAGCAAUUUGGAACAGUGUCAGCACCUUGUUGGAUUGUGCUGUUUGGGAGAGGUGACACAGAGUAUUUUAAAAGAGCAGGUUAAGAACUUUUCACAAGGAAUCAAUUGAGAGAAAAUAAAAUAGAAACAGACUGUCCCACAUUUGGGCUGAGCACCAAACACAUUUUUUUUUUUUUUUUUGAGACUGAGUCUUGCUCUGUCACUCAGGCUGGAAUGCAGUGGCGCGAUCUCGGCUCACUGCAGCCUUCACCUCCCGGGUUCAAGUGAUUCUUCUGCCUCAGCCUCCCAAGUAGCUGGGAUUACAGGUGCCCACCACCAUGCCAGGCUAAUUUUUGUAUUUUUAGUAGAGACGAGGUUUCACCAUGUUGGCCAGGCUGGUCUUGAACUCCUGACCAAGUGAUCCACCUGCUUCGGCCUCCCAAAGUGCUGGGAUUACAGGCACGAGCCACCGCACCUGGCCUCAAACAAGCUUUUUAAUUGCAUUCAGAAGUGCACCAACUAGGCACAGACCUCUGGCAUGGAGACAGAAUGGGAGGUUCUUGGUGUCUGGCCUGGUCUUGCAGAAAUCAGGGAGUUGUGGGGACCAGGCAGCCACUGUGCAUCAGAUAGGAGUUUCAGCAGCAGGCAACAGAAAGCCUGCCAAUGUAGCUGAAAUAAGAAGGGCUUAUUUUUAUCCCUGAACAGAAGCUUCCAGCACUGGUUCAUCAGAUCAGGGCACUGAGCUGGCAUCCCCAUUUAUACAGUUUUCCUUUCCUUCACCUUUGUAAGAUGCCUGGCACAGCUCUGAGCAUCAAAUAUCUGUGCCAUGUGGGAGCACACGAGGGGACAAGUGGGGAAUAGGGUCUCCUCUGUCCUCUGUCCCCAGGCUGGCUUCUCUCGUGGUAGAAGGACCCCCACAGCACCAGGCCUCAUAACUACCCUGCUGGUAAACUGCAGGUGCUGUCACGGCUUCCUGCCUUCGUAUAUGAAAUGUUCCUUGGCAGCUGGACUGCUGUUUGUUUACCGCACGCACAGCUCUGCUGCCUCUUGGUUACACCAGUGAGCUAUUGCUCCAUGACAAGCCACACCGAAAUGUAGCAAGCACUUAUUGUUGCCCACAUGUGUCAAGUCAGUUGAGUGUUUCUGCCAACCGGGGCCUGGCUUGGCCCACCUUGGCUGAGCUUGCUCUGGUGCUAGGGUCAGCUAGACAGGUCGGCAGGAGACCAGCUGCUCUAGAAGAGCCUGGACAGGAUGAAUUGGUUCUCCUUCCACGUGCAUCUUGCAUCCCUCCAGCCAAGGAUUUGAACCCAGGUCUCGUCUGACUCCAAAUGCACCAAGAGGAUGGAGCCCAGAGUGACACAGAGGAAGAGGCCCCUGGAUGGAUGCAUGGGGAAGAUCACGGGAAUUACAAGUGACAUCCUGAAGUAUGAUCACAAAUGUUUCAAAUUAAGCCUUCCUGCUAAGUUUCCAGAGGUGUGUGGCUCGGACGAAGUGUUUCCAGACCCUGAUCUACUGCAUGUCCUGCCUGUUGCUGGUUCUUUGCAGCAGUCCAUUGACCAAUGCUGUCUACAGCUUGAGAGCCUCUGCAGGCCAGGGCUGCUCUGUGCACAUCCUACGUUACUAUUCAAACUGCACAGCAGCAUGAAAAACAGGCCCUUCUUUUCUCUCAUUUACACAUAUGUGAAGAAGACACAGCAAGUGAGAAAACGUGACCGAAAGCCACGCGGACAGGUGGCCGCAGGGCCAAACCCAACUUCCGUGAUGUGAUCUGGCUACAGUUUGGAGCCCACAUAUUUCAAUAGUUAUCCCCAGGCCUGGCACGUCAAAGAGGCUCCAGAAAUGUUUGCUGAGUUAGAAGCAAGGCACAAGUCAUACCUACAUUCAAGGAGAGGGGACCAUGCAAAGGAUAAACUGCAGAGAGACAACAGAUUUACAUCCCAGACACAUUCACACUGGGCCAAGAGCAGCUGCCAUUGCAGAUUCGAGUCACGUCCUUUUUUCCUUCCUUCUCCUUCUUGGAGUUACAACAGAAGCUGGGGAGGUGAGAGUGCAGAAAGGACGUGGAUGAAGCAGAGAGGCACGUGCCUGUCUCAUUCGCCUCUGGAUCUGCUGCAUCCAGGACUGUGCCAGCACAAAGUGGGAGCCCGAUAAAUAUUUAUUGAAGAAAUGAAAGGUGACAAAAGGCAGAAGGAGGGAGACCCCAAAAAGAGUAUGAACCCAGCAUCACAGUGCACUUGUGGCAGAUGGCAGUGCAUACCCGGGAGCUACUCUCCUCCGGCCAGAUGCCCUUCUCCCAGCUGCCCGCCGUGUGGCAGCUCUACCCCGGGAGGAAGUACCGAGCAGCGGAUUCCAGUUUCUGGGAAAUAGCAGACCAUGGCCAGAUUGACUCUAUGGAGCAGCUGGUCCUAACAUAUCAGCCGGAGAGGAAAGACUGACACUGGGAGUGGCUGGCCCUGCUGGCCCUGCCUCUUCUGGCCUGGUGUCUCCUCAUGCCCCCUCAGUGAGGAUCUUCAUGUACCUGCUCUUCUGUUUGCACACCCAGCAUAGCCUCCUUGCAGGCAGAAGGCAGUAGGGCCCCUGCACACUCAGUUUCUCUCGUUUUCCUUAGUUAUCAGUCCUGUCCUGUCCCACUCAGGUCUGUACUUAGGGCAGCUGGCCUGGAUGGGCUUCACUGGGGCCCUGUCUGUGUGCUGAGCCAGUUUCCCCUGCUGGCUGCAAGCUGUGGGUUCUUUCUCCUCUGUGCCCCUCAUGCUGAUCUUCUAGAUGCCACUCCCAAAUCCCCUUCAUACCCACCAGGAUGUGUGCCCAGCCAGGCCUCCAGCACCCCCAGUGCAGCUCGUGAUUGGAAACUCACCAUCGGCAGGCAGUGGUUCGGUUUAAGAGAUGGCAUUAGAGGGAGCCCAGUCUGGAUGUGGACUUGGAUGCCCUGUGGGUAUCAGUUCUGCUGACACUUUGGCCCGAAAUAGAUCCAGUGCUGAGCAAGCAAUGUACACCAGAGCCUCAGUGAGCCCAUCUGCACAGUGGGGAGCAUGGAGGGAUGGGUUUGGCCUGUGCUUCUGCUUAUUCAGUCCUUCAGCUCACGGAAGGGAUGCUAGUCCGUGAAGGUGACCUCACAGUACUGGUUAAUUAAACUUUAUUGCUCACUGUC